rnacentral:rRNA from 1 species
AGUGAACGCUGGCGGUAGGCCUAACACAUGCAAGUCGAACGGCAGCACAGUAAGAGCUUGCUCUUACGGGUGGCGAGUGGCGGACGGGUGAGGAAUACAUCGGAAUCUACUUUUUCGUGGGGGAUAACGUAGGGAAACUUACGCUAAUACCGCAUACGACCUACGGGUGAAAGCAGGGGAUCUUCGGACCUUGCGCGAUUGAAUGAGCCGAUGUCGGAUUAGCUAGUUGGCGGGGUAAAGGCCCACCAAGGCGACGAUCCGUAGCUGGUCUGAGAGGAUGAUAGGCGGCACUGGAACUGAGACGCGGUCCAGGCUCCUACGGGAGGGAGCAGUGGGGAAUAUUGGACAAUGGGGGGAAGCCUGAUCCAGCCAUACCGCGUGGGUGAAGAAGGCCUUCGGGUUGUAAAGCCCUUUUGUUGGGAAAGAAAAGCAGCAGGUUAAUACCCCGCUGUUCUGACGGUACCCAAAGAAUAAGCACCGGCUAACUUCGUG